CAGCACCUCAAGUGGUCAGGAUGAUUAUUGGGCCUAAAGCAUCCGUAGCCUGCUUUGUUAGUUUUCGGUUAAAUCCAUACGCUCAACAUACAGGCUGCCGGGAAUACUGCAGAGCUAGGGAGUGGGAGAGGUAGACGGUACUCGGUAGGAAGGGGUAAAAUCCUUUGAUCUAUUGAUGACCACCUGUGGCGAAGGCGGUCUACCAGAACACGUCCGACGGUGAGGGAUGAAAGCUGGGGGAGCAAACCGGAUUAGAUACCCGAGUAGUCC
rnacentral:rRNA from 1 species